rnacentral:lncRNA from 1 species
AGUCGAUGAAGGAGUUGAAACUCAAGGAGGUCAAGAACGGUAGACUGGCAAUGCUCGCCAUCCUAGGCUAUUUUGUGCAGGGACUAGUGACCGGUGUGGGGCCUUACCAGAACCUUCUUGAUCAUUUGGCGGAUCCCGUCAACAACAAUGUCUUGACCAGCCUCAAGUUCCACUGAGAUGAUCAUAUAUCGUAUUCAUCACAUGGUGUUUUAUGUUGGUUUCCCAUUCUCUUGUAUCCUACAAUCUUGUUUGUUUCUCUUGG